GUGGAUUAGAUACCCUGGUAGUCCACGCCGUAAACGAUGGAUGCUAGCUGUUACCCGUAUCGACCCGGGUAGUAGCGAAGCUAACGCGUUAAGCAUCCCGCCUGUGGAGUACGAGCGCAAGCUUAAAACAUAAAGGAAUUGACGGGGACCCGCACAAGCGGUGGAGUGUGUUCUUUAAUUCGAUGGUAAGCGAAGAACCUUACCCAGGUUUGACAUCCUUGGAAUUUCUGCGAAAGCAGAGAGUGCUUUAUUGAGCCAAGUGACAGGUGUUGCACGGCCGUCGUCAACU
rnacentral:rRNA from 1 species